rnacentral:piRNA from 1 species
UGUCCCAGACACUGAGCCUGGUGCCCCGGC